GUGAGGAAUAUUGCGCAAUGGAGGCAACUCUGACGCAGCCAUGCCGCGUGCAGGAAGAAGGCGCUACGCGUUGUAAACUGCUUUUAACCGGGAAGAAAUCCCAGGACGUGUCCUGGGUUGACGGUACCGGAGGAAUAAGCACCGGCUAACUUCGUGCCAGCAGCCGCGGUAAUACGAAGGGUGCAAGCGUUAUCCGGAUUCAUUGGGUUUAAAGGGUGCGUAGGCGGAGCGUUAAGUCAGUGGUGAAAUCCUGCAGCUUAACUGUAGACUUGCCAUUGAUACUGGCGCUCUUGAGUGCGCUUGAAGUGGGCGGAAUGUGCCGUGUAGCGGUGAAAUGCUUAGAUAUGGCACAGAACACCAAUUGCGAAGGCAGCUCACUAAGGCGAUACUGACGCUGAGGCACGAAAGCGUGGGGAUCGAACAGGAUUAGAUACCACUGUAGUCC
rnacentral:rRNA from 1 species